rnacentral:lncRNA from 1 species
UGGGCCUGGUUCUGCUGUGGAAAACCUUCCCAUGGAAUCCUCACCGAGUGAAUUUGUGUUUUUUGAAUCCUCACCAAAAAACAGAGCUGUGCUGUCUGCAUACAAAGAUGGGAACUUUUCUAUUUUCUGUCUCAAAUAUGAGUUAUAUAUUACAGUUGGAAUAUGACAUUUCAAAUCUCAGUGCUCUGCAUGAGUUCCAGAAGCAGCUUGUGCCAGUGGGAAGGAGAAGUUAGCAUCUGAAUGAAUCUCAGCCUCCUGUUUUGUCCUGAAUGCUUGCUGUUCCCUUUUCAGAUCUGGAAAGUUGCAGAAUGACAUAUCUCUGGAUUUUUUAUGUUGUGAUUCUUUUCUCCUAGGAUCUAUGCCCUGCUGGUUCUGGGAAACUUGUGACCUCUGCAUUUUUAAUUAGAACUCGUAACUUUUUCCAUAGCAACAUAUUUUGAUGCUGCAAAUACAGAAUCUGUCAAAUCAAACAGCUCCUGGUCAGAAGAAAUCCAAAUAUAUAGAAAUGCUGAGCACUAAUAAGAUGUAAGACAUGGCACAGUUAAGAAAAAAAUUAAAAGAGGCAAUAAAAGAAGGAUGG